rnacentral:lncRNA from 1 species
AAAGGAAAAAAAAUGUAUAUCAUGAGAAGGAUCAUGAAGCACUUAUCUAGAAGUAUUAAGGUUGGCACAAAGCAUGCUCAAAGAGCAAUAAAAGAAAAUUUAUGAGCCAAUGAAUCUCAACAAGGACGAUGUCCAAAAGAAAUACCCCUGAUUUGUAGAUUGAACAACAGUUAUGAGGGUAACAACACGAACUCUGAGCCUGAACCCCUAUAUUUUCCAAUUUUUG